rnacentral:rRNA from 1 species
AGUGAACGCUGGCGGUAGGCCUAACACAUGCAAGUCGAACGGCAGCACAGUGAGAGCUUGCUCUUACGGGUGGCGAGUGGCGGACGGGUGAGGAAUACAUCGGAAUCUACUUUUUCGUGGGGGAUAACGUAGGGAAACUUACGCUAAUACCGCAUACGACCUACGGGUGAAAGCAGGGGAUCUUCGGACCUUGCGCGAUUGAAUGAGCCGAUGUCGGAUUAGCUAGUUGGCGGGGUAAAGGCCCACCAAGGCGACGAUCCGUAGCUGGUCUGAGAGGAUGAUCAGCCACACUGGAACUGAGACACGGUCCAGACUCCUACGGGAGGCAGCAGUGGGGAAUAUUGGACAAUGGGCGCAAGCCUGAUCCAGCCAUACCGCGUGGGUGAAGAAGGCCUUCGGGUUGUAAAGCCCUUUUGUUGGGAAAGAAAGGCAGCAGGUUAAUACCCCGCUGUUCUGACGGUACCCAAAGAAUAAGCACCGGCUAACUUCGUG